rnacentral:rRNA from 1 species
GACGAACGCUGGCGGCGUGCUUAACACAUGCAAGUCGAACGGAAAGGCCUGCUUUCCCUUGUGGAUUGCGGGUACUCGAGUGGCGAACGGGUGAGUAACGCGUGAGUGAUCUGGCCCCAACUUGGGUAUAAGCCUGGGAAACUGGGUCUAAUUACCGAUAGGACUGCAGGGUGGUGCCGGUGGUGGAAAACGAUUUUUUAGUGGUUGGGGAUGAGCUCGCGGCCUUUCAGCUUGUUGGUGGGGUAAUGGCCUACCAAGGCGGCGACGGGUAGCCAGCCUGGGAGGGUGGACAGCCACAUUGAGACUGGGAUACGACCCAGACGCCGACGGGAGGCAGCAGUGGGGAAGAUAGGACAAUGGGCGGAAGCCUGAAGCAGCGACGCCGCGUGGAGGGUGACAGGCUUCGGGAUGUAAGCUCCUUGCGACCGCGAGGAAUGCACGUAGUUGGGAGGGUGGUGACGGUAGUGGAAGAAGAAGCACCGGCUAACUACGUG